GUGAGUUCAGCCUUAUAUAUGUUGUGUCAUGAUGAAGCUAUAAAUCUUAUUGCUCCAUCAAAUCCACCUACAGCAGAAUUUUUUUUAUAUCUGCACAGUGGAGGCUGGUGUUUUGUAGUGACGUGACUUACAGCUCCACUGAUCUGCUGUAUCUUUCAUUCUCCUCAUCAAUUAAAAUCUCAACCUGUCUAGCUCAGACACUUAUGCACUGCAAAAUAAGAAAAUGCCAGAAUCAUAGUAUUUGCCAGGACGUCUAUGGGCCCUGCUCUGGAGUUUUGCCUCUAAGCAAAGCCUUGACUUGUAAUUGACUCUAAAGCAAACUCACUUGCAUGUGUGUCCCAGAACUACUGCUUGAUUUUGUUGAAGAUUCAAAUUCCUGCCUUCUCCUGUCCUCAUUAACUGCCAAAAUUUUGCUUUUUAACAUGGGAGAUGCCAUUCUUUUUUCCCCUGAAAUAAUAUGGGGCUUCACUGUAUGGAUUCCUGAAACU